UACAGAGGUCUCAAGCGUUGUUCGGAAUUACUGGGCGUAAAGGGCGCGUAGGCGGUCUGUUAAGUUCGGUGUGAAAGCCCCCGGCUCACCUGGGGAACUGCGCCGGAAACCGACAGACUCGAGUACCGGAGAGGAGGGUGGAAUUCCUGGUGUAGCGGUGAAAUGCGUAGAUAUCAGGAGGAACACCGGUGGCGAAGGCGGCCCUCUGGACGGAUACUGACGCUGAGGCGCGAAAGCGUGGGGAGCGAACCGG
rnacentral:rRNA from 1 species